rnacentral:rRNA from 1 species
CCUACGGGAGGCUGCAGUGAGGAAUAUUGGUCAAUGGGCGCGAGCCUGAACCAGCCAAGUCGCGUGAGGGAAGACGGUCCUAUGGAUUGUAAACCUCUUUUGUCGGGGAGCAAAAGACGCCACGCGUGGCGUUCCGAGAGUACCCGAAGAAAAAGCAUCGGCUAACUCCGUGCCAGCAGCCGCGGUAAUACGGAGGAUGCGAGCGUUAUCCGGAUUUAUUGGGUUUAAAGGGUGCGCAGGCGGAAGAUCAAGUCAGCGGGAAAAUUGAGAGGCUCAACCUCUUCGAGCCGUUGAAACUGGUUUUCUUGAGUGAGCGAGAAGUAUGCGGAAUGCGUGGUGUAGCGGUGAAAUGCAUAGAUAUCACGCAGAACUCCGAUUGCGAAGGCAGCAUACCGGCGCUCAACUGACGCUCAUGCACGAAAGUGUGGGUAUCGAACAGGAUUAGAUACCCGUGUAGUC